CAUCAGCGGGGGAUUGAUGAAGUACACUGGAGUUCACCUGUACAGCAGAUUAUGAGACACCACUUCUUUAAAGGUGCAGCAUCGCCUAUCGCCUUGCCCGCCUUUCUCACCAGCUGCCGCUUCACAAAGACAAGAGCGUAUAUGUAAAGGAGGAGAAGCCCCUGACGAAAUCCGAACUACCAAUGGUUGUGCUUUCCGGCCCACUUGUCCAGAGACCUUCCAGGAAGCUCUGUCACCUCUUCAGUCCCAGGACAGAGCCAGCAGGCUCUUGGCAAAGCAGAAACAGGUACCCAGAUGUGUUCAAAGCUUCUUAGCAAAGGAACUUCAUUCCUUUGUGUUAUCGUGUCUGUAGCAGAGUGACAAGUACACGUGCGUUAAUUUUGUUUAUUUUAAAACAGCUGCAUUGGGGCUCAUUUUCCACAGCACAGAACUCACUGAUUUUGAGUACAAAAUUCAGUGAUGACUCAGCAAAUCUACAAAGUAUUGCAGCAGCAGCACCACCAGGAAUGGGUUUGGGAACAUUUUCUUCCCCUUAACCCUGUGCCUCAGGCGUCUUUACUCUGAAUCCUCUGCUCCCAUACCAGGCGACACCUGUCUAUCAGUUUGCCUUUGGGGACGUCCCAUAUUUCAUUCCUGUGCCCCAUUAAGUCACUGAAAUCUGUGGGUUGCUUGUUUUCACAGCUUAGUUGAGUCUCUCUUGCUAGAUUUCAAAGG
rnacentral:lncRNA from 1 species